rnacentral:rRNA from 1 species
AGAGUUUGAUCCUGGCUCAGGAUGAAUUCCGGCGGUGUGCCUAAUACAUGCAAGUCGUGCGCACUGGCCCAACUGAUUGAUGGUGCUUGCACCUGAUUGACGUUGGAUCACCAGUGAGUGGCGGACGGGUGAGUAACACGUAGGUAACCUGCCCCGGAGCGGGGGAUAACAUUUGGAAACAGAUGCUAAUACCGCAUAACAACAAAAGCCACAUGGCUUUUGUUUGAAAGAUGGCUUUGGCUAUCACUCUGGGAUGGACCUGCGGUGCAUUAGCUAGUUGGUAAGGUAACGGCUUACCAAGGCGAUGAUGCAUAGCCGAGUUGAGAGACUGAUCGGCCACAAUGGAACUGAGACACGGUCCAUACUCCUACGGGAGGCAGCAGUAGGGAAUCUUCCACAAUGGGCGCAAGCCUGAUGGAGCAACACCGCGUGAGUGAAGAAGGGUUUCGGCUCGUAAAGCUCUGUUGUUGGAGAAGAACGUGCGUGAGAGUAACUGUUCACGCAGUGACGGUAUCCAACCAGAAAGUCACGGCUAACUACGUGCCAGCAGCCGCGGUAAUACGUAGGUGGCAAGCGUUAUCCGGAUUUAUUGGGCGUAAAGCGAGCGCAGGCGGUUGCUUAGGUCUGAUGUGAAAGCCUUCGGCUUAACCGAAGAAGUGCAUCGGAAACCGGGCGACUUGAGUGCAGAAGAGGACAGUGGAACUCCAUGUGUAGCGGUGGAAUGCGUAGAUAUAUGGAAGAACACCAGUGGCGAAGGCGGCUGUCUGGUCUGCAACUGACGCUGAGGCUCGAAAGCAUGGGUAGCGAACAAGAUUAGAUACCCUGGUAGUCCAUGCCGUAAACGAUGAUGGCAAGUGGUUGGAGGGUUUCCCCCCCUUCAGUGCCCGGAGCUAACGCAUUAAGCACUCCGCUUGGGGAGUACGACCGCAAGAUUGAAACUUCAAAGGAAUUGACGGGGGCCCGCACAAGCGGUGGAGCAUGUGGUUUAAUUCGAAGCUACGCCGAAGAACCUUACCAGGUCUUGACAUCUUGCGCUAACCUUAGAGAUAAGGCGUUCCCUUCGGGGACGCAAUGACAGGUGGUGCAUGGUCGUCGUCAGCUCGUGUCGUGAGAUGUUGGGUUAAGUCCCGCAACGAGCGCAACCCUUGUUACUAGUUGCCAGCAUUAAGUUGGGCACUCUAGUGAGACUGCCGGUGACAAACCGGAGGAAGGUGGGGACGACGUCAGAUCAUCAUGCCCCUUAUGACCUGGGCUACACACGUGCUACAAUGGACGGUACAACGAGUCGCAAGCUCGCGAGAGUAAGCUAAUCUCUUAAAGCCGUUCUCAGUUCGGACUGUAGGCUGCAACUCGCCUACACGAAGUCGGAAUCGCUAGUAAUCGCGGAUCAGCAUGCCGCGGUGAAUACGUUCCCGGGCCUUGCACACACCGCCCGUCA